UCUAGUUAGGUUCUCGGUAUCGUGAGCAGCCAUGCCGCGUGUGCGAUGAAGGCCUUCGGGUUGUAAAGCACUUUUGGCAGGAAAGAAACGUCAUGGGUUAAUACCCCGUGAAACUGACGGUACCUGCAGAAUAAGCACCGGCUAACUACGUGCCAGCAGCCGCGGUAAUAA
rnacentral:rRNA from 1 species